CCUAUCAACUGUCGACGGCCCGGUAAGUGCCGUCCGUGGUGGCAAGAAGUAACAGGGAAUCAGCGUUCGAUUUCG
rnacentral:rRNA from 1 species